GUAGGUGAACCUGCGGAAGGAUCAUUAUCAUAGGGCUUAUACCCUUUGAGAUAGAACCCCUUGUUUAUGAGUACCUAAUUGUUUCCUAAGCAAGAUAACUUGCUAAAAGGACCUUCUAAAACCUUUUAUUAUGGCUGUAAACGUCUGAAAAUUUAAUAUUACAACUUUCAACAACGGAUCUCUUGGCUCUGGCAUCGAUGAAGAACGCAGCAUCUGACUGACUAAGAUUCG
rnacentral:misc_RNA from 1 species